rnacentral:misc_RNA from 1 species
CCGAGUUUACAACUCCCAAACCCCUGUGAACAUACCUAUACGUUUGCCUCGGCGGAUCAGCCCGCUCCCCGGUAAAAAGGGACGGCCCGCCCGAGGACCCCUAAACUCUGUUUUUAUAGUGUAACUUCUGAGUAAAACAAACUAAAUAAAUCA